UCAGCUGUGGUUUUCCCAGGCUUGGGAAUCAUAGCUAUGCCAGCGUGUUUCCAUUUGUUUUGGAAGUGCCCUAGCCUGAGACUAGAGUUGUAAAUUAGCAGUAGGUAUAACAGUGCUUUUUGUGGUAAGAGUUGGAUAAUUCUGUUAUCUAUUUUAUCUUCUCCAGGUGACUUUGUUUGCUUAGUGCAUUGAUUUUCAGCUUAAGCUUGUUAAGCGUGAUUGGCUUGAUUGUCUGCUGUAGCUCCUGGUCUGUUUGCUGCUGCUGAAGCUUCUGCUGCUUCAGUUGCCUCCAUUCUUCGCGAAUUUCUGCACGCUCCUCAUCCGAGUUUGAGAAGUUGAGAAGUGGGCUGAAACGUUCUUCAAGGUGAGCGCCGAAGGCCUUCGCUUUUUUGGCAGUUGUUUUUUUCCACAUUGCGUUUGAAUUUGACGCAUUCCUCGCGACUCCGUUGCCAGCAUUAGCCUGUGGCAGUUUUAUUGGCCAGUUUGGCAGUGGCUGUUUUUUUUAUUUUGUUGGUAAGUCGCCAUAGCUUUUGCAUUGCAUAUCGAUCAUGAGUGUCAAUGUCCACAAGUAUUUUAUUAAUGUUCUUGUUUUUCAGCUGUGCAGCCCUGUAUUGCUGUCCUGCCUCUGGAGUUCGUGUCGCCAUUAAGAUCUGUUUGCAUCUCUGUUUCAGUCCAGUUCAAGUUCUUGCCUAUGGCGGCCCCGGUGACUAUGUUGGUUUCCAUGAUGCCUGUGUGCUGCGGCAUUUGCAGCUAUUUAGAUGUUGCGUACGAGGAUAUCCACUGCAACGUCGAUGUCCGUGCCACUGCGGAUCUCGGUGUUUAGGUGGAUUUGCUGGUCAAGAACAUCCUGAAAUCGAUGCGUAUUGGCCCCAGAAGGUGGUCUUCGUCCAAGUCUGUUGAGGAGUGGAUUCGAAGCCGAUUGCUAUCUAAGCCACCGUGGACUGCAAAGUCAAUUGCAGAAGGACUUUUCCUUCUAUCGUACGGGUAAUGCGUCGCUCCACCGGUGGCCAAGACAUUAUAACGACAAUGACAGGCGGAUUGCCCCACCAUGAGUGCUGGGCGUUCCAAUCGCCGCAGAAAAUAAGUUUGAUGGAGCCGGGUCGGUGAAGUUGUCAAAAUGUUUGAAUAGUUUUGUGAUGUGUUCGACGAACCAUUUGAACACUGGUGGGCAAUAGAUUGGGGCAAUUAUAAUUAUUUCCCUUUUAUUCUCAUUUUCAAGCAACAGGGCAAUAGGCAUUCUCUGGAGAAAGUUCGCGUUAAUUGGCUGGAGGGCAGCGUGCCUGAUAUCGUUACGCACAAAGAUAGCGACCCCCCCCUCUACAAUGCGUGCGUGCAUGGGUUACACUGUACGUGUGGUAGCCUGCUACGCUUUGUAUGUUAGUGCCGGACGUGACCCGAGUUUCGAUGACCAUCAUGAUUUGUAUGGACUCGCGUCGAAUGUACAGCUCGAGUUCCGUCAUUUUGUUGCCUAUGCCACAUGCGUUCCAGAAAGCAAUUUUAAAUGGGUUGCUAUUUUGGCUGCAAUUGUGGAUGGUCAGAUGUGAAUUUACUGUACUGAUUGGCGCCAGACUGCGGACAUUUUCAGCGGAAGUAUUAGUGGCUAAAGUCGAUUGAGCGGCGGUACUACCGUGUGGAUGACUAUACAUAAUUGAUGGAUUCAUUGGCGAUGGCAGCUUUCAUAGAGCAGUCCAUUUGGACUGUUUUGCUGUCUGAUUGUUGUUGAGCUGUGUUUUACAACACAUGAUUAUUGGUAUUUGUGUUAUUGUUUUUAUAAUGAGUGGCAAUUGCAAAAGGACAUUUAAUAAAGUAUAUAUUCCUCGUUUCAUGCGAGUGAA